rnacentral:tRNA from 1 species
UUUUAGUUUUAAGUUGAUUUGCAAUCAACUAAUAUGAUGUUCAUACUGAAUA